rnacentral:lncRNA from 1 species
CAGAGUCAAGAAAUGUAGCCUAGGUGAAGAACAGAAAGGAAACCAAGAUUAGAAAAGUAGGAAAGAGCCAUAUUAUUAAGUGCAUUAAAAGUCAAGCAGGGGCAGCUGGGUAGCACAGUGGAUAGAGUGCCAGGCCUGGAGUUAGGAAGACUCAUCUUCCUGAGUUCAAAUCUAGCCUUAGACACUAGCAGUGUGACCCUGGAGAAGUCAUCAUUCUUGGAAGGGGACAAAAUAGACUCUGGGAAAGAAAACUUGAUGCCAUUCCACACUGGCAUCAUCUGCAUCCCAGACCUAGAGACUUUCAGCUCCCUCUCUUCAUCAGAGUCUCCAGACCAAAAUACCAAAUCCCAGACCAACACAGUCAAUCAAGAUCAUUUUCACUUUGGAUGCCUUUACUCUCUCACAGCCCUCUGUGAUACCCUAGUCAACAAGUCUUCAUCGGAGAGCUCCCACCAAGGCUUCCAUCACCCCUAGGCUCUGCCUAGUGGCUCAUGUCUUAAUAGGGCAGGGAAAAGAAAGUAACCUGGUUGUCAUAUCACUCUAACAGAGUCUACUAUAGGGCCCAGAAGUCUACUGCUUUAACUCCAGGAAGUUUGUGGUAUUUGUGACCUAGCCAUUCCCUAUAAGGGUUGUGAUUUCUCUCCUUCAUCUCCAUUAUGGUGCAGUGCCAAUAUCAUCACUUUGCCCCUACCUCCCACUCCUACCUUAUCUCUCAGCCUCCUACAUAAUGCAAUAUAUCUCCUUAAGUCUUCAGGAAAGACAGGGAUAUGAACAAGAAUGGAAAAUGUCAUUUCUGGGUAUAAACCAUGUUCUUUGAUGUCCAAAGAAAAUAGAAAGGCGGGUCUACCAGCCAAUGCCAACCCAUGAGCUGGAUACCUGGUGGCAUCCACGAUGGGACCUGUACCUGUUCCAAGCUAUAAGCUCCAUGGAGGCAAGAAUGGUUUCUUGUCUUUACUUCAUAUCUCUACCAUAUUAAGCACAGGGGUAUAUGGUUUAUGGUCAUGGAAUAAAUGAAAAGUCAUGCAAGAAGGUAGUUUUCUA